rnacentral:lncRNA from 1 species
AGGGCAGAGGCUAAUUGGGGUCUUAAUAGUGGUGGUGGUGUACUUAUACCAAAGAUGAGAGGGCGAAAGGUGGAGCGACAAGGUGGUAAUGGCAACAUUUUCAUCUCAACCAAUAUCUCAGUAUGUAUUGUAUCGGUAUCGGGGGCCACCAAUUCAAUAUAUAGGUAAAUUCUUAGCCCUUGUUAUCUUCAUCGACACAUAUUGAUAAAUUUUAAGAUAUAGGCUGACACAAUAUCAAAAUAUCAACCAAUAUUUUUCAAAAACCUUUUUACUUCCUUAAAUAGAUGCUUUAAUUAAGAAAAAUCCCAAAACUAAUGCCUUAAUAUUUUUUUUUGCUAAUUAUGCAUUUACAUAUGAACCAAGAUUGCAGUAUCACAACCCUAAAACAUCAGUUGAGAUCCUAGAAAUCCUGGAUCUUUCCAAAUAUGCCCACCUUUCAUCUUAGUCAAGACAAACUAAGAUAUAAAUUCAACUCGAUCUCGCUCACCCACCAAGAUGAACGAUAUCUUAGCUUUUUUCAAAAACCUUGGCUAGUGAUGGCCAGUGAUAGCCAUGGUAGAACAGAAGGUAGGGGGGAGGAAAGAGAAGAUUCUGAUAACCUAGCAAACUAGGUUGGAGACAGCAGUGCAAUUGCCUUAAAGAUGGGACAAAGAGAAGAGAUGGAAUGCAAUGGAGGAAGGAGAGAAAAGUGACUUGAGAGGUGCCUGAUUAUUGCAAAAUAAGUCCUUCAAAGGACUUCUGCCCUGUAAGAUUAUGUCAUUCCUGCUAUUUGUUAAUCCUCAUGUCUAGCUAUCCAAACAGACAAUCCUAAUCAUAGUAAGAUAUUUAGCCCCUAAGAUUAGGAACCAAUGGGACUCUAACGAGACUAAAUGUUCAUAGUGCUCAUGGUCUCAAUGUGUU